UGGGGAAUAUUGCACAAUGGGCGCAAGCCUGCUGCAGCCAUGCCGCGUGUAUGAAGAAGGCCUUCGGGUUGUAAAGUACUUUCAGCGGGGAGGAAGGGAGUAAAGUUAAUACCUUUGCUCAUUGACGUUACCCGCAGAAGAAGCACCGGCUAACUCCGUGCCAGCAGCCGCGGUAAUACGGAGGGUGCAAGCGUUAAUCGGAAUUACUGGGCGUAAAGCGCACGCAGGCGGUUUGUUAAGUCAGAUGUGAAAUCCCCGGGCUCAACCUGGGAACUGCAUCUGAUACUGGCAAGCUUGAGUCUCGUAGAGGGGGGUAGAAUUCCAGGUGUAGCGGUGAAAUGCGUAGAGAUCUGGAGGAAUACCGGUGGCGAAGGCGGCCCCCUGGACGAAGACUGACGCUCAGGUGCGAAAGCGUGGGGAGCAAACAGG
rnacentral:rRNA from 1 species